rnacentral:rRNA from 1 species
UACGGAGGGUGCAAGCGUUGUUCGGAUUCACUGGGUAUAAAGGGUUCGUAGGCGGCCCUGUAAGUCAGAGGUGAAAGCUGCCGGCUCAACUGGCAAACUGCCUUUGAAACUGCGGGGCUUGAGUCCGGGAGAGGAAGGCGGAAUUCCAGGUGUAGCGGUGAAAUGCGUAAAUAUCUGGAGGAACACCGGUGGCGAAGGCGGCCUUCUGGUCCGGUACUGACGCUGAGGAACGAAAGCCAGGGGAG